rnacentral:rRNA from 1 species
UACGUAGGGGGCAAGCGUUGUCCGGAUUUAUUGGGCGUAAAGAGCGUGUAUGCGGCCAGACAGGUCCGUUGUGAAAACUCGAGGCUCAACCUCGAGAUGUCGAUGGAAACCGUCUGGCUAGAGUCCGGAAGAGGAGUGUGGAAUUCCUGGUGUAGCGGUGAAAUGCGCAGAUAUCAGGAAGAACACCUAUGGCGAAGGCAGCACUCUGGGACGGUACUGACGCUGAGACGCGAAAGCGUGGGGAGCGAACAGG